UAUAAGGCGAAGGCACCGUCACUCAGAGCCGUAGCACAAGCCCUAGCGGCAGAACAGCUCCCUCUACACACUUUCACAGCGGCGCACUUCCCCGACGGCUAACGUUCAGGAAAAGCAUGGGGGCUCCCAUUUGCAAGCUUACUGCAGAGGUUGAGGAACCCAUGGUUUCAUGCCCUCCCAGGUUGAUACUAGGCGUCCUGAGGGAUUUUUUUUUAUUAUUUGACCAGGUUUAGUGAUCUGAUUUAACCUAAGGGAUUCAUUCAUAUGUCCUUUCUGUGAUCUAACAAAACACAGUUUCGUUUUCAA